AGGACGAACGCUGGCGGCGUGCUUAACACAUGCAAGUCGAGCGGAAAGGCCCUUCGGGGUACUCGAGCGGCGAACGGGUGAGUAACACGUGAGCAACCUGCCCCAUGCUUUGGGAUAACCCUCGGAAACGGGGGCUAAUACCGAAUAUUCACGACGGAUCGCAUGGUUUGUUGUGGUAAAGUUUUUCGGCGUGGGAUGGGCUCGCGGCCUAUCAGCUUGUUGGUGGGUAUGGCCUACGAGGCGACGACGGUA
rnacentral:rRNA from 1 species